UAAAGCUUCCCCGGCUGUUAAAGUUGACAACAUAGCAUCAUCUUGGGUGACAUAUGCCUGUUUUUGCAGGGGGAGGGAGUGAGGAUCUGAUGUCGGACAAAGCUGAGAUGCAUAAUGAUAAAGCAAGUUCACUCCAUAAUGGCCUAUCACAUAUAUUGAAUGAGACAGUGUUCAUGAUUCGCCUUGUACAAGAAUAGCCUUGUGAUUCCAAUAAUUCCCAAACUGCAUUAUUAACUACAAGUUGUAUGAUGCAUGAGAUAGGAAAGGAUGUACACAUAUUAAAGAGAAAAUAUGUAUAUAAAAUGA